UACGAAGGGGGCUAGCGUUGUUCGGAUUUACUGGGCGUAAAGCGCACGUAGGCGGAUCGAUCAGUCAGGGGUGAAAUCCCAGGGCUCAACUCUGGAACUGCCUUUGAUACUGUCGAUCUGGAGUAUGGAAGAGGUGAGUGGAAUUCCGAGUGUAGAGGUGAAAUUCGUAGAUAUUCGGAGGAACACCAGUGGCGAAGGCGGCUCACUGGCCCGGUACUGACGCUGAGGUGCGAAAGCGUGGGGAGCAAACAGG
rnacentral:rRNA from 1 species